CAAUUCCUUGUCGAGAAAUGUGCCUAUUUUCGUCGAAAGUACGUAAUGCCACGAUUCCAAAGCUAUACGAUACUACAAAUAACAAGUUAAUUACCUCACAUCUCGGUAAAGACUAGUAAUGUUGUACUUCUUGUUGACUAAAUUCGUGUUAAUGUUGGGUUUUUGAGCUAGCGCCCAGUAGACUCCAUUCACUCCGUGAUGGAGAGCGAUCCCUGUCCCAGAGUCGCCCAGAAUGCACCGCGUGGGCCAAUGACGUAGUAUCGUCAACGUUUCCUCAAAAGUAUAUCUGCCGUUGUGAUUUAAACUCCACUCUGUGAGACACAUCGAUCUGCAGGUUGAACAUGAUCUCCAGGCUCAAAGCGUCAGUCCACCAGCUGAACUCUCAGUCAGACUGGUGAAUGGGACCACUUCCUGUUCUGGGACAGUGGAAGUCUUCUACAGAGGAGAGUGGUUGAGUCUAUGUUCUAGUUGGUGGAGAAUGAUCGGAGAGGUUAAGGUUGUGUGUAGAGAGCUGGACUGUGGGAAUCCUGUAGCUGAAUCUAGAGGACCUCUGAUUGAAGAUGGAAGAAGAGGAGUCAGACUAUUUAGUAUUUGUAGUGGAGAUGAGUCUUCUAUUAGACAGUGUGACAACAUAGAAGCACAUGGUGUCUGUUAUGGUGGAUAUUAUCGUCAUGUGAUCUGUUCAGGUAAGAGACUGGUCAUAUUGAGAGAUUUAUUUAUACAUUAUACAAUAUUACCAUGUAUCAUGUUUUAUGUGUUUUAUUUCAUUUAAAUAGAGGGAGAGAUGUCAGAUGUAUUUAAACAUUAUAUUUGUGUUUGUCA